AGAGGCGGGAGUGCUCGAAAGAGAACCGGCGCACAGGUGCUGCAUGGCUGUCGUCAGCUCGUGUCGUGAGAUGUUGGGUUAAGUCCCGCAACGAGCGCAACCCUUGUCCUUAGUUGCUACGCAAGAGCACUCUAAGGAGACUGCCGGUGACAAACCGGAGGAAGGUGGGGAUGACGUCAAGUCCUCAUGGCCCUUAUGGGUAGGGCUUCACACGUCAUACAAUGGUCGGAACAGAGGGUUGCCAACCCGCGAGGGGGAGCUAAUCCCAGAAAACCGAUCGUAGUCCGGAUUGCACUCUGCAACUCGAGUGCAUGAAGCUGGAAUCGCUAGUAAUCGCGGAUCAGCAUGCCGCGGUGAAUACGUUCC
rnacentral:rRNA from 1 species